GUGCUUACUUUGGUAGCACAUAUAACAAAAUUGGAACAAUGCAGAGAAGAACAACAUGGUGUCUGUGCAAGGAUGAGAAUCUGCCUUGUGUAUGAUUAUUUAAUAUC